CCUGACGACUAUAGCGGUUCGGAACCACCUGAUCCCAUCCCGAACUCAGUAGUGAAACGAACCAGCGCCGAUGGUAGUGUGGCAUCUGCCCAUGCGAGAGUAGGUCAUCGUCAGGC
rnacentral:rRNA from 1 species